CUCGUAGGCGGCCAACUAAGUCGGACGUGAAAUCCCUCAGCUUAACUGGGGAACUGCGUCUGAUACUGGAUGGCUUGGAUUUGGGAGAGGGAUGCGGAAUUCCAGGUGUAGCGGUGAAAUGCGUAGAUAUCUGGAGGAACACCGGUGGCGAAGGCGGCAUCCUGGACCAACAUUGACGCUGAGGAGCGAAAGCCAGGGGAGCAAACG
rnacentral:rRNA from 1 species